rnacentral:pre_miRNA from 1 species
AAUCUACUCCCUCCGUUUGGAAUUACUUGUCACAAAAAUGGAUAAAAAUGGAUGUAUCUACAACUAAAAUACAUCUAGAUACAUUCAUUUCUUGGACGAGUAAUUCCGAACGGAGGGAGUAUAAA